rnacentral:rRNA from 1 species
CAUGCAAGUCGAACGGCAGCACGGGGGCAACCCUGGUGGCGAGUGGCGAACGGGUGAGUAAUACAUCGGAACGUGCCCAGUCGUGGGGGAUAACUACGCGAAAGCGUAGCUAAUACCGCAUACGAUCUCUGGAUGAAAGCGGGGGACCGCAAGGCCUCGCGCGAUUGGAGCGGCCGAUGGCAGAUUAGGUAGUUGGUGGGGUAAAGGCCUACCAAGCCUACGAUCUGUAGCUGGUCUGAGAGGACGACCAGCCACACUGGGACUGAGACACGGCCCAGACUCCUACGGGAGGCAGCAGUGGGGAAUUUUGGACAAUGGGCGCAAGCCUGAUCCAGCCAUUCCGCGUGCAGGAUGAAGGCCCUCGGGUUGUAAACUGCUUUUGUACGGAACGAAACGCGCUGAGCUAAUACCUCGGCGUAAUGACGGUACCGUAAGAAUAAGCACCGGCUAACUACGUGCCAGCAGCCGCGGUAAUACGUAGGGUGCAAGCGUUAAUCGGAAUUACUGGGCGUAAAGCGUGCGCAGGCGGUGAUGUAAGACAGAUGUGAAAUCCCCGGGCUCAACCUGGGAACUGCAUUUGUGACUGCAUCGCUGGAGUGCGGCAGAGGGGGAUGGAAUUCCGCGUGUAGCAGUGAAAUGCGUAGAUAUGCGGAGGAACACCGAUGGCGAAGGCAAUCCCCUGGGCCUGCACUGACGCUCA